rnacentral:rRNA from 1 species
UACGUAGGGUGCGAGCGUUGUCCGGAAUUAUUGGGCGUAAAGAGCUCGUAGGCGGUGUGUCGCGUCGGCCGUGAAAACCUGCAGCUUAACUGUGGGCUUGCGGUCGAUACGGGCAUCACUGGAGUUCGGCAGGGGAGACUGGAAUUCCUGGUGUAGCGGUGAAAUGCGCAGAUAUCAGGAGGAACACCGGUGGCGAAGGCGGAUCUCUGGGCCUUACCUGACGCUCAGGCACGAAAAGCUAGGGGAGC